rnacentral:lncRNA from 1 species
AAAUAAGCCCUUAAUUUACUCCUUAUUUACUGACGCCAGAUGAUAAUAUCAAAUUAAAAUAUUCAUCUAGUUGGCUGAAUAAUCUAUUCUACUCAUGAAAAAGCUAAAUAAAGUAAAGAAGCACGAGCAUUUUAAGUGUAAUUAAGAUGACAGCAAUGGGUAAAUAUCAUCGAAUAUAUUUAUUUUGGGGAUUGAGACAAAAGAUAUUUUUGAAAUUUAUAAGAAAUUUAAGUAGUGGACUCGUGUCCAUAUGAGGACACGCGACUGAGCAGUCGCUGCACUCCUUAUGGAUUGCCACUUGCUAGCCAUCAUGCACAUGAUCUUAUCCAUGAUUGCUAAUAAAAUUUCAAACUUUAAAUAUUUAACAAAUCACCUCACACCAUUAUCAGCCCUCUUCUACACUUUUUCAUAUCUUUUAAAAUCUAAAAUAUUCCCUAUACCAUGGUUAAGUGAGGUACCCUGAUCCCAAAAAAAUAUAAACUCAUUAUUUUGGUGAGGUUUUUAUUCAUAUCUCUUAGAACUUGACACGACUUAAAAGUAUUUGAUUUACUCUAAAAUAUAAGAGUGCCUAAUUAUAAUAUAUCUCGGUGAGUCCGAGGUCGAUCCACAGAAAAAAGAUUUAAUUAAUUUAUUUUAUUUUAUCUAAAAUUUGAAAAUAAAACUUAAAUAUAAACAACUUAAUUUAACUAUGUGGAUUCACUCUUAGUAGUAAAUAAAACUUAAUAAAUUCUUUUUGCCAUUUUUUUAGAUUUAUUGCCCAAAAGAUUAAUUAUAUAAAUUAUUAUUAUUUUCCCUUUAAUUUUAUGAUGGAUUAAGCAUUCAUUGUGCCAAAAUUUAAUUUGUCUACAAUAAGUCAAAAUACCAUUUUAUUAUACCUUAUAUUAAGAUAACAAGAAUUUAUUGUGCCAAACUCCCUUGUUUGUCUACAAUAAAUCAAAAUUUUAUAAUAUAAAAUAUGUAUAAAAUUAAAUAGAAAAUAAUUUAAUUUAUAAAAUUAAAAAUAGAAUUUGAACAAAUCAUAUUUAUUUCCUAAGAGUUUCACCUUCCCGUAACUAUUAAUAUUUAGCUAAACAUUUUUUUAAUAAAGGAAAUUGCUAAAAUUGAAAAACACAUAAUUAAAAAUGGAAUUUGAAAAUUGAAAUAAAACUAAUUUUAUUGAUUGAAAAUAACUUACAAAGAGAGAUGAGAAGAAGAAUUUGGGGGGAAAGAAGAGAAGAGAAGGCGUCUAGAGGUGUGUUCAUCCCCCUCUCUAUUUAUACUAAUACAUGGUAAAUCCACACCACACAAAUAAAAAAAUCUAAUUAUAUUUUAACCUUACAUUUGUCCCACUAAUAAUCUCACUAAUAAAACAUAAACCUAACUUAUCCACUCAAGCAUAUCGAACACAUUCCACUAACAAUUACCAUACCUAACAUGAUAAAAACUUAUAAUUUUACAAUUACCACAUUUAUCGUGGUAAAAAUAUAAAAAAUUACAACAAAAGUCUUGGAUCGUUCUCAACAAUGACAUAAUUUCUCAGACUUCCAAAAUCCAAAUUUGACAUCCAUACAUUUGUUCGGAGCCUCAAAUUGCAUGAAAUUAUUAUUUUUACCUAAUAAACAUACAAAAAUACACAAAAUCAAAUAUUUUAAAAAAUAAUUAGAAAUUCACAAUAUGUUACACAAUUACAAAUAUAAAUUACAUUAAUAGCACAAAAUAACAUUUUUAUCCCUUAAUAAACAUAUAAUUUUUAACACUAAUAAGAACUCAAAAUCCACUUAAAACAAUUAGCGCUGUCUAUGUGGGGAGUGUAUAAAAAGCCUCCACAGUGGUUACUAGACUGAUCGCGAUGUGUACUUAUAAAUUGUGGCACCUGACGUGCCCUCUUAUGCCGUGAUGACAUAUUUUGCACGAGUGAGAGAUGCAGCAGUGUGGAGGUCAACAAUCCAGCAAGAAGAACAACUCAGUCCAAUAAGGGCAAGUCCGUCAAAUAAUUUACCGGUGUUUGCUCUAAUGAGGAGCUCGUUUCUUAAUGACGCUUUAAAGAACUUGCUCAUGCCAUUCUUCGGGCCGUAGGCUCUCAAAUACAUGAACCAGUAGAUCCUCCCACUACUCGAGACAUUCUAUUAACAUGGGCAGAAAAGCGAAUUGUCCCACACUUUGAAGUGCCCGAAUUAAAGGCGAUGAAAUAAGGUAUGAUCCCCCAGGUACCUGACUUAAGUCACAACCCACAUCCCCUAGGGAGGAGCCUUAUACAGCCUCUAGCUACUUGCGAGCUUCUUAAAUGGGAGUGGUAUCUCAAGGUGCACCUAGGAUACCCCGUAAGUUCUUAAAAAAAAAAUAAAACACCUGGAUUCUCAAGUAAAGCUACUUUCUCAAAAGUAAAAUGUCGCAAAUACUCUAACGCCAGUAGGGUACAACUCGCUAUUUACUAUGGAGAUUCGGACAACAACUCUCCCAGAUACUUUCGCCAUGCUCAGGCACCCCAGUAUUUGGGUACCUCAGAUCCGAAAGAACACACCGAACUGUAUCAUGAUUAAAUGCUUAUCAAGGGUGUCGACAACAAGGCUAUGUGUCAGAUGUUUCCUUACACACUUACCGGACUCACUAAAUCUUAGUUAAAUCUUUAAAGGUAGGUUAUUCUCCCUAGACCAGCUCCUUACGGAGUUCAUUCAUGAAUUUGGUUAUGCUGCCUCCCUUGAUCAAGCAGCAAUCAGGCUUGCCUUCUUUAAGUAAGGGGAAUAUGAGCUUUUGCUAAUUAUGUAGCCCGCUUCCACCAAGAAGUAUUGUGGACGAGCAUGUAUGGUCAUCAACACACACUAAAACACUUUGAAAAAAACAUGCAGUUAAGAAUGUUGUGGCAUUCCUUUCAAAAGUGUCGCUCUCUCUCAUAUGGGGAAGCCCUUCUUGAGCCUUGCAGCAAAUCGAGAUGGAUGAGAAGUGACACCUAAAAUGGCAAGAAGACAAAGCAGAGGAUAUGAAAAACAGGAAAAAACCUAAGAAGCCUAAAGUACCCUAAGAUAAGAUGCCCCGCCUACCACCACUCGUCAGAUCAUCUCAAUCAGACUGACAGAACCUUUAGAAAAACCUUAGUAUAAAUCUCGUCAUGCUUUGAACUACUAUCUAGAACAGAUCUUCUACUAGAUUUGAGAUAGCGGCCUACUUCACCCACCCAGGCUCAUGCGCAUGUACCUUAACAUGAAGCGUAGCCUGAAGUAUUGUGAGUUUCAUGAGGAUUUCGGACAUAGCACGGCUGAGUGCUUCAGUUUGUGUAAGGAAAUCAAAUCUCUAAUUCUCAGUGGGCACUUCAAGGUGUUCGUCACAAAUAUGAGGCAAGCCUGGAAGUCUAUGUAGUAAGAUAAGGGCAACCAUGUACCUCAUACCAACCCUAAAUGUGAGGCACCCCAAGGAUCCAAGAAAGAAGUUUAUGUUUGAAUGGUUGCACGCGAACCUACUUCAGCCAGCCAGUCCAAAAGCCAUAAAAAUUAUAAUAGAUUGCCAUUGCCAAUUGUUAUCAUUGGCCAAGGAAUCCAUUUCAAUGACCAUGAGGUACCUCUCCAUCCUAUCUCAAUUUUUUUCAUAGAAAAAGAUGCUGAAGAUAUCUCGUACCCCAUGACGACGCUUUGGUCAUCACUGUUAACAUGAAUAUAUUUAUAAUGAUGAUUUUGAUGAUAACAAACCAAAAAAAAUGAUUAAUUUUUAAAAGCUCAAAUUAUUUUUCAUACUUUUUUAAAUAAAUCACUAUUUUGAUAAAGUAAAGGUUUUAUACUCAAAUGGAAAAUGAUUUGAUGAAAUUAGUUAUUUUUCAAGUUCAUGAUCUAAUUGAAUAGUUUUGAAAACUUUGAAAUUAACAAAUAAUUGCUUAAAAUUUUUAUAAAGUUUUGGGACAAAAUUAUAAUUUUGGAAAACAGUUCACCGUAGUGGUCACUGUAGCAAAUGGCUAACCGACAUCUUCAUAACGGCUAGCCGACAUCUUGAUAACGGCUAGCCGACAUCAAACAGAAUUGAAGAUUAGCCUCUGGACACUAACGGUGAUAUAGCUUAAUAACAGCUAACCGACUGAUAACUCUAUGAAAUAAGAGUUAUCAUGACACUUUUAUACUUAAAUCAAUAAUACUUAGAGAGUAAAUAAUGUGUUUUCAUUGUAUUUUUAUUAUAUUUUGCAUAAACAUUCAUCUUAGUUUAUUUGUAAUAAAUUUUGUUUGAUUUAGAAUAAUUUGUGUGUUAAAUCAUAUGCAUAAUUGUAGGUGUCCGGAAGCCCAAAUUUCAAGGAAGGAAUGUUUAUGCAAUAGGCUUGCAAAAUAUGGAAAAGAUUUUAGCUACAAAAGAAUUGAAACAAAUCUGGAACAAUGCAGUUGCUGUAGCCGUUGCUGUAGCAAUCCUGGAACAACGACAGAGAAAAUUCCGCUUGGGAUACUUGCAGAAUUGUGAUCUGCAGUUUCCUAAUCUGACUUAUGCAUACCCUAGGCUUCCGUGUACCGUAAUUUUUAGCUAUAAAAGAAGCACACAUCAUAAGGAAUAAGAGGGGCUGUCACCCAAGGAGAAAAACCACAAAGAAACAAAAGAAAAAGAAGAUUCAAGAGAGAGAUUAAGGGCUACACAAGAGGAGAAAUUACAGAGAUCAAUUGUGAGCUCAGUCUUUCUUAUUCUUCUCUUGUUUUCUUGUUUGCUAUUUAUUCAUGGGGAUGUGUUUCGUGGUCAAAACCUUGUUCUUUAUUUUUCUUUUCCAAAUCAUGAACUAAAUUUAUUUGUAGUUGAGUGAUAAACAAUCUUGAUGGUUUAUUGACUGAAAAUAUGAGUUGUUGUAUGUUUGUUGUAGCAUUUUGUUUUGAUAGAAUUUAUUUUUAUUCAUUAUUUCGGCUGAUCACCCAUUUAAUGAUAUUAGCUAAGGAAGAGCCACAAAAGGGUCUAUCUUAGUGGAACCUAUCAAAGCAAUACUUGAUAUUAAAUUGGAUUUCUUGGAUUUAGUUUUACUUGAGUCCUAAAAAGGUCAUGCUUGAUUUAAGAUUAGUGAUGAACUAGACAUAAAGAUUCACCUUGUAGGGUAAAUGGAACAUAAGCGUGUAAUGUUAUAUCUUAUGUUGACAUAACAACUGAUCAAUGUUAGGUUGCAUAUAGAUAUAAGAUAUCCAACAUGCGACGGCUGAGGAAGCAUAAGGAUUCUGCCCAGUGCUGUAGUAGAUACUGCAGUAACCGAGCCAACCAUUAGAAAAUAGUCAAAACCAUUAAGAAAGUUUAUUCACUCAACUACUCCAUAUUCCCAUUGGUUUUAUCCUUGAGUUUGACGAGAUAAUUUACUUUGUUGCAUUUUAUUUUUUGUGUUUUUAUUUUAAUUAGUAUAUUAGUUUCAUUAGUUGUUUUAUUUUAAUUUAGAACAAAAUCUGCACUGUUAAAAUUGUUGUAGCAAGUCUGAUAACAUCAAUCCCUGUGGAAACGAUCUUGAAUACUUAUCAUUAUAUUACUUGUUGUAUACACUUGCACAUUGACACUAAUAGCAUUAGUAUUUAUACCCAAUACCAACAUCGAACAGAAUUGAAGAUUAGCCUCUGGACACUAACGAUAAAUCGACUUCUUGAAAACGGUAAGCUGACAUCUUCUUUGCAGGUCACUGGAUUAUAAGGGAGAGCCGACAAUUUGAAAUUCUAUCCAACAGUAACCUACUCAAGUCAAAACGGCAAUCCGACUUCGAGUUAACGACAAUCCAACUUCGAGCAAAUUGUCUGUAACAACUAGUUUUUAGCUCAAACUAUAAAAAUGCUCAUUUAAACACAAGCUAUAAUGAUUCCAACUAUUAUCAUUGAGCAAACUAUUGAGCAUACAACUUUCAUUAAGCUUUAAAUUCUUGUAUUCAUCUCAUUCAUUCACACAUUGAGCUUUCAUUUGUGAUCAAACACAUUAUGUAAGAGAAAUUUAUUUUUAAUCCUUUUUGUAAAAUCAAGUUGAGAGGUUGUAAUUGUUGGGAUACACUUGGGUAAAGAGAUUGGGGAUAAUCUCUUGUUGUAAAGGUCUAUUGAUAGCUUGGAAGUCAAUUGUAUGAGUUGUUGAAGCCUUGGAGGCUAUCUUAGUAAAAUCCAUUAAGCCCGGUGAGCUUGGAGGUGUGGACGUAAGCACAGUUGGCCGAAUCACGUAAAAGUCUCGUGUUUGCUCUCUCUUCCCCUAUCUCUUUAUUUUUUAUUGCACAUUAAUUUAUUUAUUUCUAAUUUGAUUAUUUUAUUUAAAUUGUAUUAAGGAUCUUAGUAGCUUAAAUUUUUAGAAACCCAAUUCACCCCGUUCUUGGGUUGCCUAGUUAGAAUUUCAUUUGGUAUCAGAGCUUGGUGCUCUUGUUUAGACUUAACCGUCUAGAUUUAAAUAUCCAUAACAACUCAAAAUGACUCUAUCUUUAGGGAAAUACAAUCCACAACUAGGCCACCAUUUUUUUAUGGUAAUGACUAUCCAUAUUGGAAAACUAGGAUGAGAAUUUAUGUGCAAGCUUUUGAUUAUGAAAUUUGGGAAGUUUUUUGUGACGGCCCAUUCAUGCCAAUGGCUAAAAAUGAAGUAGGAGAUGAUAUUCCAAAACCUUUAUGAUAUUCCAAAACCUUUAAGUCAAUGGAGUGAGUUAGAAAAGAAAAAGAUAUAUUUAAACUCUAAGGCAAUGAAUGCUUUAUUUUGUCCUCUUGAUAAGAAAGAGUUUCAUAGAGUGUCUAGUUGUGAGAGUACUCAAUAAAUAUAGGACAAACUUGAGGUUGUCUAUAAAGGGACAAAUCAAGUUAAAGAAUCUAAAAUUAGUACAUACACUUGACAAUAUGAAUUGUUCAAAAUGGAAUAAAAUGAAAGUGUGUGUUCUAUAUAUACUAGAUUUACAGACAUAGUGAACAUUCUAGGAGCUUUUUAGGAAAAACGUUUUCAAAUAGUGAGAAAAUUAAGAAAAUUAUUAGGUCACUUCCAAAGGAAUAGAGACCUACGAGGGUUGCCAUUGAGGAAGCCAAAGAUUUAAAUACCUUACCUAUUGAUGAUUUGAUUGGUUCUCUUAUUUCAUAUGAGGAAGACUUGACAGCAUACAAAGGCAAUGAGGAGAAGAAGAAAAGCAUUGCUCUCAAAGCCUCAAAACAUGAGAGUGAUGAGGAAAGUGAGCUGGAUGAUGAGGAGAUGACUAUACUAGCUAGGAGAUUCAGAAAAUUCUACAAGAAAACUAGUGAACGGAGAAGGUUCAAAAACUACAAGAAUAAAAAAAAAAGACGAAGGAGCCAAUUACUUACACGUGCAAGAAGUCCGGACACAUACGAUCAGAGUGUCAUCUUCUCAACAAGCUCAAGAAGAAAGCAAUGGUGACCACAUAGAAUGACAGCGAUGAGGAAACAAGUGAUGAUGAAAAGCAACAAGAAAUGACAAAUAUAGCUCUCAUGGCAAUCGAGGAAGAUCCAUUUGAUGACCUCGAUGAAGUAAGUGAUCUUCUUACAUAUGAUGAAUUACAUGAUGCUUUUAAAGAAUUGCAUGAUGAGUGGAUGAAAAUUAGUAAAAUGAAUGCAUGCCUUAAAAAGAACAUGGUAGAACUUUCAAAUGAAAAGGACGUUUUACAAAAAAAAUGUAAUGACUCAUUACAUGAAAAGAUUAAAGGACUAGAGUUAGAUAAUCUAAUGUUGCAUGAUAAAAUUGCAUCAUUUAAAGGUAAACAAAGUAUUUUGUAUGAGCAUGAAAAAUCACAUGUUGAUGAAUUGAUGAAAGAAAAUGAAAUGCUCAAGAAAAAGAACAUAGAACUUAGUGAUGUUGUCUUAAAAUUUACAAAUGGGCAAAAGAUGUUGGAUAACUUGCUUAACUCACAAAAAUGUGUGUUUGACAAAGGAGGUACCUCUAUUAAUAAUCAAGUUAUAUGUCACCUUUGUAAUCAAGAUGGUCACAUGAAGUAUAAACGUUCAGUUAAAAGAAAUGCAUAUUAUGAAGUAAAAUGUGUUUGGGUUCCAAAAAGAACCAACGCUAGCACUCAAAGACCCAAAAAAGUUUGGGUACCUAAGACUUAAGAUUUUCUUUACAGGAUUUGAAGAAGAGGAAGAAUAAAUGGUAAUUGGACAAUGGUUGCUCAAGACAUAUGACCAGAAACUAUAUAUGGUUUUUAAGUUUUACCAAAAUCGAAAACGGUGGAGAUGUUUCAUUUGGAGACAAUUCAAAGGGAAAGAUUCUCGGAAUGGGUAAUAUCGGUAAAGUAUCCUCAACUUUAAUUGAGAAUGUAUGUUUAGUUGAAAAUUUGAAACACAACUUGAUUAGUAUUAGUCAAUUGUGUAACAAGGGUUAUAAAGUUGUUUUUGAUAAAACGAGAUGUGUUAUUGAAAAUGCAUGUGAUGGUAAAAUUUUAUUUGUUAGAAAUAGAUGUAGUAAUGUUUAUACCAUUGAUAUAGAUUGUGCAUCUACUAUCGAUAAGUGAUUUUCCGCAUUCCAUGAUGAUGGUUAGUUAUGGCAUAGAAGACUAGGUCAUGCUAGCAUGGAUUUGAUUUAAAAAAUCUCAAAAAAUGAUUUGGUUAAACGUCUACCAAAAAACUAGUUUUCAAAAUGAUAGAAUUUGUGAAGCUUCCAAUUUGUAAAAAAGAUCAAAACUUUUAAAAAAAACAAGAAUCAUGUCUCUACUUCAAAACUACUUCGAUUAAUUCACAUGAACUUGUUUGGACCUUCUAGAUAUGUUAGUUUAAGUGAAAAAUAUUAUGCAUUUGUAAUUGUGGAUGAUUAUUCUAGAUACACAUGCGUAUUGUUCUUAACUAAUAAGGAUGAUGCCUUUAAUGCAUUUCUUGUAUUAGAAGUGAUCAUGGUGGAGAACUUGAAAAUCAUGCAUUUGAGAAUUUUUGUAAUGAUUUUGGGAUUGAGCAUCAAUUUUCAUCACCUAGGACUCCACAACAAAAUGGAGUUGUUGACAGAAAGAAUAGGUCUAUCCAAGAAAUGGCUAGGAUCAUGUUGAAUGAAAAUACUUUGCCAAAGUACUUUUGGGCUGAAGCUGUUAACACUGCUUGUUAUAUUUUAAAUCGUGUGUUGAUUAGACCUUAUCUUAAUAAGACUCCCAAUGAGCUUUGGAAAGAUAGAAAACCCAACAUUGAUUUUUUCAAAGUUUUUGGAUGCAAAUGUUUUAUUUUAAACACAAAAGAUAAUUUUGACAAAUUUGAUCCAAAAUCUGAUGUUGAUAUUUUUCUUGGCUAUUCAAAUACAAGCAAAGUUUAUAGAGUGUACAAUAAACGAGCUUUGGUUGUGGAAGAAUCUAUGCAUGUUACAUUUGAUGAAUCUAACCAUUCCUCUACGGAGAAAGUUGUUGUUGAUGAUGAUGCAAAUAAAAAGCUACAAGAAGAUUCAUCAAAGAAUAGCCAAAAGGAUGCACCACUUGAAAAUCAAGAGGAGCAACGUGAAGAAACAAAUGCGGAGCAAAAGGAAGGCAUUCUCAAACACUCCCUAAGGAGUAGCGGUCUAAAGACUUAAUUUUAGGAGGCCACUAGAUCAUCAUUUAGAAAUACUUGUGAGCAUGCUGCAUUCAUAUCUCAAAUUGAAUCAAAAUCUUUUGCGGAUGCGGAAAAUGAUGAAUCUUGGAUUAUGACAAUGCAAGAGGAGUUGAAUCAAUUGGAGAGAACAAUGUGUGGGCAUUGGUUCCUAAACCUAAACAUCAAUCCAUUAUAGGUACUAAAUGGGUAUUUAGAAAUAAAAUAGAUGAAUCCGGUGUGGUUAUAAGAAAUAAAGCUAGAUUAGUGGCUCAAUGGUACGACCCAGAAGAAGGAAUUGAUUUUGAUGAAACAUUUGCACCUGUAGCUAGAUUAGAAUCCAUUAGGAUGCUUUUAGCAUUUGCAUGUUAUAAAGAUUUCAUUUUAUACCAAAUGGAUGUCAAAAGUACAUUUUGAAAUGGAUACAUUAUGGAGGAAGUUUAUGUGAAACAACCCUCUGGUUUCGAAAAUGAAAAUUUUUCAGAUCACGUUUAUAAGUUAACAAAAGCAUUGUAUGGUUUAAAACAAGCACCUAGAGUAUGGCAUGAUUGACUUAAAAAUUUCUUACUGGAUAAUGGUUUUUCAAUGGGAAAGACCGAUACAACUCUUUUUAUUAAACAUAAGAAUCGAGAUAUUCUCAUUGUCCAAAUUUAUGUUGAUGAUAUUAUUUUCGGUUCUAUUAAUGAGUUUUUGUGUAAGGCAUUUUCAUCUUGUAUGAGCAAAGAAUUUGAGAUGAGCAUGAUGGGAGAAUUAAAGUACUUUCUUGGUCUUCAAAUAAAACAAACUGAAGAAGGAAUCUUCAUCAAUCAAGCCAAAUAUCUAAGAGAUUUAUUCAAGAGAUUCUGACUUGAAGAUGAAAAGACAAAAAGUAUUUCAGUGAGCUCGACCAUCAAGCUUGACGAGGAUGAAAAAGGUAAGGAAGUUGAUGUCAAAGCAUAUCGAGGUAUGAUUGGAUUAUUACUCUACUUGAUUGCUAGUAGGCCUGAUAUUAUGUUUAGUGUAUGCUUGUAUGCAAGAUUUCAAUCAUGUCCUAAAGAAUCUCAUUUGCUUGUGGUAAAAGGGAUUGUUUGUUAUUUAAGUGGAACUAUAGGUCUUGGCCUUUGGUAUCCUAGGGGAACACAUAUGGACUUAACAUUUUAUUCAGAUGCCAAUUUUACCGAAUAUAAAGUUGAUAGGAAAAGCACUAGUAGAAAAUGCCAUUUUCUAGGUUAUUCCUUAGCCUCUUGGUUUAACAAGAAACAAAAUUCAGUUGUACUUUCUACCACUGAGGCAGAAUACAUUGUGGCUAGAAAUUUUUGUGCACAAGCAUUAUGGAUGAAACAAACACUUAGAGAUUAUGGUAUUGCAUUAUAUCAUUUUCUCAUUAAAUGUGAUAACACAAGUGUUAUUAAUCUAUCGAAGAAUCCCAUGCAUCAUUCUAGGACUAAGCAUAUAGAAAUUAGACAUCAUUUUCUAAGAGAUCGUGUUAAAAAAUGAGAUGUUGUGAUUGAGUUUUUUUUUUCACCGAAAAACAAUUAGCUAAUAUUUUUACUAAACCCCAGUCCCAAAUUGAAAAAUCCUUAUUUUGAAACCCUAGAACUGCCACACCUUUUCUCUCUCGAUUUGGCCAACUUUUCUUCAAUUUUUUGUUAAAUGAAAUCUUAGAUACAAUUCCUUUGCCUUCUAACUUCAUUUCUAUCGGUUUAUUUUCCUACAAACUCAUUAAUUUCUAAAAUUCCUGUUUGUUCACUACAAUGGCCGGUCGACGACAACAACCUAGGAGGGGUGCUCGAACCAAGCAGGAUGCUCCAACCAAUCUUAGUUUCUCUAGGCCUCUCUCUCAGGACUUCGACAACCUUCAUUUUCCAAAUGGUCACAUGGCUCAACGUUUCCACACAAGCUUCAUGAGAAAAACUGUAACUUCUUUAUUUUACAUUGAUAUUGAUGAGUUCUCUGAUAUUACUAUAUGUGGUAGAACUAUUCCUCAAAUGCUAAGGCAAUGAGAUGAAGUAUGAGAUGUUGAAGAGCAAGUCUAUGAAAACCUAGUUAGGGUGUUUUACUCUGAUAUGGAGCUUUCAGUUACCUGAAAAGAUAGGAUAGUGACAGAUGUUAAAGGUGUUAUGAUCGAGUUUGAUGUUUUUGAGCUUAGUACUAUUCUUGGAAUCUCUAAUGAGGGGCUAGACAUGUACACUCCUAAGAAGGAGCUUCAUUUUACUGGGUUUCAUCACUUAGACGGCAUUAGGAACAUCCGCAGACGACGCGAUCUCUCUGACGACGUCUGUUCAUUGUCUUUUCAGUCCCAACUUUUACCCUUCCAGGUCCGUAUUCUACAUAGUAUACUCUAGCACAUGAUUACACAUAGACAAGGUCACAGUGAUGAGGUAACUAGAUUGGAUGUUGCUUUACUUGAUUCUCUCAUCUGUGGAAGAAAAGUGAAACUCGCAUUCACAAUCAUGCGUCACAUGUUAUUUACUCCUGCUGUGACUAACCGGUCUCUUCUAUAUGGUAGCAUUAUCAGUAGAAUCCUUAGGCAUUUUCACGUUCCCUUGACCGAACCUAUCUAUGUUAAGAUAAAAAACUGGGUAGGGAAAUUAUUUCGGGAAUUGGCUUUCACUAGAAGCAGGGGAAGUGGAUCAAUAUCCUAUUCUUUUUUAUGAUGAAGAUACUUUGGUAGCUUCGAAGGAUAACCAAAUGCUUAAUGAUAUUUAUUUCGAGGAUGAGUUACUUGAUUUUCGACUCGGCACUAGACCUCGUGCACCUUGCUGGGCUACAUCAGCCCAAUCUCAGGAUGAGGAGCCAGCCAAGCUAGUAGAGCACCCUGAGGCACCUUCAAUUUCUAAGGAUCGCAUACAGCAGCUUUUCGACAAAGUGGAUACCCUCUUCAUGCAGCAGCAACAGCUUCAAUCCCAAUUUCAAACAUUUCAGUAGCAGUAACUUCUUGAUGCUCAGCGACGCAUCCUUGCUUCCCUUGGUUUCCAUCUUGGUGGUUCCUCCUCGUAGCCCUCAUCUUAGUUUUUGCAUUUAUGUUUUUCGCACAUACAUUCCUCCUCUCGUUUGUUUUAUGUUUUGGAUGAUAUCAUGUAGUUUUUAUGGUGAUAUUUGGAUUGCAUAGUUAUUUUUAAUUUAACUUGAUGAUUUUGAUGAUUAAAUGGUUACAUACAUGUUGGUUAUUUGAGCUUUGAUUAUGAUUGUAAUGUUUUUUAUGAUAUGUUGCUUAUCUAGUUGCAAAAUUGAUGAAUAUGGAGUUUGGUUGAUUAAUUGAAUCUUAUAUGGGAGUGUUUUAGCUAUUUUUGGUAUUUGAGGAUAUGCUCAUUUUUAAGUGGAGAUUCUACCGAAAAUUUUUGCUCCCACAAAAUGGGUAAUAUCUGAACUUCUUUCUUUAAUCGCUUCAAUUUCUUUUCUUUUUUAUGAUAAAAGGGAAGAUAUAUGGUAUUUUUGGACAAAAAUUGAUUGGCCAUAUACUUAGGGGGAACACAUAUUUAGGGGCAGUAAAAAUUGCAUAAUAUUUUUUGGAAUAAAAGUACAUAUUUUUUUAUUUAUCUUGUAAGGUUUGUCAUCAUAAAAAAGGGAGAGAAUGUUAACAUGAAUAUAUCUAUAAUGAUGAUUUUGAUGAUAACAAACAAGAUUAAAAAUGAAUUAAGUUUUAAAAGCUCAAAUUAUUUUCAUACUUUUUUAAAUAAAUCAUUAUUUUCAUAAAGUAAAAGUUUUAUACUCAAAUGGAAAAUGAUUUCGUGAAAUUGGUUGUUUUCAAGUUCAUGAUCUAAUUCAAAAGUUUUGAAAACUUUGAAAUUAACAAGUAAUUGCUUAAAAUUCUGGAAAUGGACUUAUUUGACAAGUUUCAUAAAGUUUUAGGUCAUAGUAUAAGUUUAUAAAGUUUUGGGGCAAACUUAUAAUUUUAAAAAAUAGUUUAUUGUAGUAGUUCACUGUAGCAAAUGGCUAACCGACAUCUUGAUAACGGCUAGCCAACAUAAAAUAGAAUUGAAGAUUAGCCUCUGGACACUAACGGCAAUCCGACAGCUUAAUAACCGCUAAUCGAUAUCGAACAAAACUGAAGAUUAGCCUUUGGACACUAAUGGCAAAUUGACUUCGUGAAAAUGGUCAGCCGACAUCUUUUUUGCUAGUCGUUAGACGAUAACGGAGAGCCGACAUUUCAAUAAUAGUGAUCUGACAAUUUGAAAUUCUGUCCAACGGUAACUUGCUCAAGUCAAAACGACAAUCUGACUUCGAGUUAACGGCGAUCCGCCUUCGAGCAAAUUAUUUGUAACAGCUAGUUUUCAGCUCAAACUAUAAAAAGGCUCAUUUAAACACAAAUUAUAACGAUUCCAACUAUUGUCAUUAAGUAAACUAUUGACCAUACAACUUUCAUUGAGCUUUAAAUUCUUGUAUUCAUCUCAUUCAUUCACACAUUGAGCUUUUAUUUGUGAUCAAACACAUUAUGUGAGAGAAAUUUAUUUGUAAUCAUUUUUGUGAGAUUAAGUUGAGAGAUUGUAAGUGUUGGGAUAUACUUGGGUUAAGAGAUUGGGGAUAAUCUCUUGUUGUAAAGGUCUAUUGACACCUUCAAAAUCAAUUGUAAGAGUUGUUGAAGCCUUGGAGGCUUAUUUAGUGAAAUCCUUAAGGCUGGUGAGCUUAGAGGCGUGGAUGUAGGCACGGUUGGCUGAACUACGUAAAAAUCUCGUGUUUGCUCUCUCUUACCCUACCUCUUUAUUUUUUAUUGCACAUUAAUUUGUUCAUUUCAAAUUUGAUUGCUUUGUUUAAAUUGUAUUAAGUUUCUUAGUAGCUUAAAUUUUUAGAAACACAAUUCACUCCCUCUUGGGUUGCCUAGUUAGUAUUUCAAUCACAUUAAAGGUUGCUACUGAUAAUGUGGUAAGAACGUUGGUGGACAUUGGCAGUUCCGUAGACAUUAUCUUCAAAAGUGCCUUCGAUCAUUUAGUAUUGACUCACCAAAAAUCACUCCGAACGAUACGCGUUUAUUGAUUUCACAGGUAAUAUUGUCAUCCUAAAAGGCACUGUUACAUUGCCCAUAACUAUUGGUAGAGUACUCCAUCGUAUCAUCAUAUGAUUGACUUCCUUAUUAUUGAUAGUCGGACUACCUAUAAUACUAUUCUUGGCAGGCCAUUUUUAACGAAAACUAAAGCAGCGGUAUCCCUAAAUCAUUUAGCUAUGAAAAUUCCAAUGAUCGCAGAUGUUGUCACCAUCAAAGGAGACCAGCAAGCAGCGAGGGUUUGCUAUAUUGUUGCCUCUAAAGAAAGCUAUUAGAUUAUUUCUGACACUCAGUUGAAGUCGUACCUCACCAGAGACAAAUUAUCUCCAUAUAAGAUAGUAAGAGUAUCAAAUGACACCUAUUCGAAACCCAUAGAUGAGAUCGAAGUACCUUUGGAUCACCAAAUUCUCAAAGUGAAGAUGGGUACCCCAGCUUAGAAAAGUUGGUCUUUCAGCCUCGUUCGGCCAUUGAAGCUCAAGCCAUUGCCGAUUUCUUGACCGAAGUCGCCAAUAACUCUGGAGGUGAGGGAAUCCUAGGAUACCAGAGCUAGACUAAACCAGCAACAGAAGAACAACAACUUUGGGGAAUCAGUAUUGAUGGCUCUCCCAACAUAUGGGAGUGGUGCGGGAGUAAUCAUCUUUGGCUCCAAAAGAGAAAAGUCGUACUACUAGUAAAGUGAUAACACUCUACCUCCUUUUGUUUAUUCUGUUUAUUUUCUUUAAUGUUUAUGUAUUUGAGAUAUUGAGUACCCUAAACUGGUCAAUUGCACUUUUUAAUUCCUUAAGUCUCUAAUGAUAAUAACAAAUGAUCCUAGGAUUUCCUAUAUUCUUUUAAGGAUAACAAAAUAUUGUCAUGUAAUGAUCCCCAAAGUACCCCAAACUGGUCAGUUGCACUUUUUAAUUCGCUCAGUCUCUAAUGACAAUAACAAGUGAUCCUGGGAUCCCCAAUAUUCUCCUAUGGAUAACAAAAUAGUGUUAUGUAAUGAUCCAUGUCUCCACUUUCUAUGAAUGCAUUUGCUUUACAAAAUUUAAUGAUGUGUGCUCUUUUAUUUGUCUUUGAAUUAUUUGAUAUCGAUGAGUAGUUUGAAAUGCUAUAAGAAUAUGUCUGCCAUUAAACAAUCUCCAUAUAUAUCAUUGAACAUUGUUUAUUAUGAUGUAAGAUAGUAUCCAGAGAUUGCCUUAUUCUGGGGUAAACUGGGGUACCUAACCUAUUUCGAUCAUGAUGAUCUACUCAACGUUAGACCCAACAAAAGGGCAGCUAGUAGCCGCCUUUAUCAUUAUUUGUUCACCAUAUUUGAUUCUGAUCGAAUGGCGAAUCAUAAGGUUUUCGACUAUCUUGCAUAAAGGUAGGCCGCCAACUGCAUGUAUCUCUAUUUAUGUCGUUUAUUUAAUUCUACGCGAAUGGAGGAUCAUGAGGUUUUUGACCAUCUCGCAUAAGGGUAGGCAAGCAGCCGCUUUUAUCACUAUUUUUCUCGCAUAUUUAAUUCAAAGUAAAUGAUGGAUCAUGAGGUUUUCGACCAUCUCGUAAAAGGAUUCGCUACAAUUUUUGUUAAGAUUUGCAGCAAGCAUGUCUAAGCAUAUCGUCAUACAAUGAUGAGAUAAGAUUAGGGGUACUCAUAGUACCCAUGCCAAAAAGUCAUUUCUCGAAUAUACCAAGAGGGGACCUUAAGAAGCCUCAAAGAGAGUAGAAAAUAAGUUCGCCUCUGUUGUUAUUCUAGUUAUGGAUUUACAUGCUUCAUUAAUUUGUUACUCUGAUACUUUGGUUAGUUGAUAAGUACUAAGAAUCACCAUAAUCUCCUAAAGAUUAGCAACAAGCAUAUCUAGAUGAAUCGCCAUAUUGAUGAUGAAAUUGGGUUGCUCCAUCAUGAAGUAAGAGAUAGCUCGAUGAGCAUCUAAGUUAAAGAGUACCCGAGAUACCCCAUGCGCCUGGUCAGAUUUCAUAAUGGAUUAAAGAAACAACAUUCAAAGCUUUAUCAUAAAGUAAGAGAUAGCCCGGUGAGUAUGUAAGCUUAAAGGUACCUGAGGUACCCCAUAUGCCUAGCCAGAUUUCAAAAUGCAUCAAAGAAACAACAUCUAAAGCUAUUAAAAAAAAUACCAUUACAUGCAAUCACAAAACAAUUUGGGCACCACGAUAGAAAGGGGUAUAACAAGAAGUCAAUAAAAUAGCUCCAAGUCAGAAUUCAGGAAAAAUGCCAACAAACAAGUAAUAACACCAAAUAAAGUUACAUAUUAGGUGCAUCAUCCUCACAUUCAUCCUUCUGAUGAAAGCUUUGGUUGGGGUAAGCGAAGUACACUGGAUGACCUUCGUGGACUACUAGACUAAGGUAUAUGGGAUUUCGUUUCUGCCUCGGUCACUACUAAGAUAGUCGAUUUAUCGACCCACUUUUCUUCCUUGGGUACCAAUAACCUCGGCCCCACAGUUCAACAUUCAGUCAUUAUACAACCCUCAACUUCAAUGAUCUGUUGGCCACACAAGGCUUCUCCUCAGAUGGAUCAUUGAGGUACCCCUUUAAAGUUUUGUUCUACUGAUUAAGCUUCUCCUCGGAGGACUUGUGGCUUCAGAGUUCAAUUAUUAGUUUCUCCACCUUAGACUGAGCAUUGGAGCCUGGAGGCAGUAUUGAGGUCUUGGAAGCGGUGACUUCGAUAAAAAGUCACCUGCUGCUAGUAGGAAGUACCAUAGAAAAUGCAAGUAAAAGGUUGCUUACAGCACUUAGUUAGGCUCUGCAUAAGUUGGCACUAGCUCUUCUUUAGUAAAAUCCUCAAGUAGAGAGAAGAAGGAUCCUAAUUUUCUUUUGCGCGCGUCAGGGGUAACCUUGAAGUUGCUCUUUUUUAACCGAGCCAUCCACGCGAGAACUUUUACUGAGUGAGUGAGGAAGUAAUCUCUGAGCUUUUAGGUGGCCCAAUUCACCCUCAAAAAGCGAGAAGGCUGGAUGUUUUUUGAAGAAGGAGUGAUACCCGAGCUACUCAAAGAGCCACCAUUCAUUUAGGUAGAAAAAAGGUAUCAAAGUCAUCUAAGGGAGGAUUUAAAUCUGCCAACUACUGCAUAUAAAGAAAAAGGGUCAGUUAUAUGAAUAUUGGACUCUAUUAUUUUCCUUCUGUAAAGCCCCCUCAACUCUCUAAGUGAAAUAUAUGUUUCAAGUAAUUCCGACUAUAAUAAUUAAAGGCCUGAUUGGAAGGAUAUACGAAGUACCAGAUCAAUAUGAAGUGUUAUCUCAUCUGUCUUCGGGCAUUCUAGGGUUUCAUUCUUGUGGGGUACCCAGCGGUCAGCAAAAUAAAGAACGUAGUACUUAAUCUUGAUAUGCUCUAGGCCUCACAAAGUAGCCCUCCUACCACUUAGAAAGCGAGAUUUGUUAGACCUAGAGAAGGAAAGUAAUGGAAUAGUUUUUGGACAUGUGAACUAAUAUGGUCAACCUAGAAAAGGGUAAGUGCCUUUUUCUUACUCAACCAUCGGUGAAGGUGGGCCAAACAUUGCCAUGUGUCGUUCAUAAUUCCUAUACGAGUUUCUUUUGCCUUAAAUACUUUCAUCAUAAAGAGAAUAGAGGGAUUUUUUUGGAGAAUAAAUAGAAUAUUGAAAAUAAAGCACCACGUGUCGACGAGAAGGUUUUGGUGACUGAAAGUUACGCUCAAAGGGUACCCAAUCUAUGCUAGGUAUAUUCUCCAGAUAAACAAAUACGUGGGAUACACCAUGACAGAGUCAAGGAAUUGAAGGAAAUAUCCAAAAACGACCAUUACAUGUGAUGUCCCAAUAGAAUAUUUGAUUUGAUGAAAUCAAAUCAAGAAUAUUCUGUUAGAAAAAGGAAGACAACUGAUAACUCUAUGAAAUGAGUGUUAUCAUGACACUUUUAGACUUAAAUUAAGAUUACUUAAAGAGUAAAUGAUGUGUUUUUAUUGCAUUUUAAGGAUGUUUUGCAUGAACCUCCACUUUAGGUCAUUAUUAAUGAAUUUCAUUUGAUUUAGAAUAAUUUGUGUGUUAGAUCAUUUGCAUGUUUAUAAGUGACCGGAAGCUCAAAUCUCAAUGAAGGAAUGUUGUUGCAAUAGGCUUGCAGAAUAUGGAAAAGAACUUGGCUAUAGAAAAAUUGAAACAAGUCUGGAGCAGUGCAGAUGUUGCAACCGUUGCUGUAGCAACCCUAGAACAACGAAAGAGAAGAUUUCGCGCGAGAUAUUUACUGUAUUGCGAUCUAGAGUUUUCCAAACUGGAAGAUGUACGCCCUAGACCUCCGGUUGCCUUAACUCUAAACUAUUAAAGGUGCACGCAUCACAAGAAAAAAGGCGGCUGUAAUCAAAGAGUACUAACCGAAAGAAAAACAAGAAAGAAAACGAAUUCGAGAAGAUGAAGCAAGCUUGCUCCAGUGAAAAUUCAGCAGAAAAUAAUUAGGCGUCAACUUGUCUCAUUCUUGUUUUGUUACUUACUUGUUCUUUGAGCAUGAAGAUGUAUUCGAUGGUUAAGACAUUUGUGUUUAUCUUUCUUUCACAAGUUAUAAACUAAAUUUAAUGGUAGUUGAGUGACAAAAAAUUUUAAUGGUUUCUUGAUUGAUUAUAUAAAUUGCUGCAUGUUUGCUAUAGCAUUUUGUUUUGAUAGUAUUUAUUCAUAACCAUUAUUUCGGCUGACCACCCAUUUAAUGAUACAAGUUAAGAAAGAGCAGCAAAGGGCCUCUCUUAAUGGAACAUAUUAGAGCAAUAAUUGGUCUGAAAUUGAGUUUCCUGGAUUAAGUUAACUUGAGUCCAAAAAGGCUCGUGCUUGAUUUAAGAUUAGUGAUGAACUAGAUGUAGGAAUUCACUUUGUAGGGUAAAGAGAACCUAAACAUAUAAUGCUAUAUUUUAUGUUGACAUAGCAAUUGGUCACUGUUAGGUUGCAUAAAGAUAGAAGACAUCCAACAUGCAUCCAACAUGCGACAACUGAGGAUGCAUAAAGUUUCUGUCCAUUGUUAUAGGAAAUGCUGCAACAAUUGAACUUAACAGGAGAAGAACAGUAAACACUAUUAAGAGAAUUUUAUCACUCAACUACUCCAUUCCCGAGUGAAUUUAUUCUUGUGAUCGAAGUGAGAAGCAUAUUGAUUGAAUCUUUGUUAUUUGCAUUUUUUUAAUCCCUUAGUUCUAUUAAUUAUUUUAAUUUAGACUUUAGGUUGCACUGUUGAAAUUGCUGUAGCAAUUCGUAUAACAACAAUUCCUGUGGAGAUAUUCUUGAAUUCUCAUCAUUAUAUUAUUUGUUAUGUACACUUGCACAAUUGACACCAAUAGUUAUUGAACUAAAAAAAAAAUACAACAACAACCGACUGCAAUAUCAGCAAAAAAUCAAAAACAGCACAUAAAGAACAGUGGUCCUUCACUGUCACGCCUGAUAUUGUAUAGACAACCUCUACAAUCACUUGUAGUGCAUGCCACGUACACUAAACGACAAUGCCCAAAAAAAAACCGCAUUACUACUCUCCAAGCAUGCUCCUAACGGCUCAAAAAUAGCCAUAAUGGUAAAAGGACGUAAAAAUUUCAAAAAGGACAAAAAAAUCACCACUAAAAAUAUGCCACGUGGCAAGAUACCCAGGCUGUACUAUAUAAAGGGAAAAAGGUUCUAUCUCUCUCAUACUCUUACACACUCAUCUUCUCUAAUACUCAUUACAAAUACACACAAAAAUGGGACUGAGGUCUUCUUCAAUCUCCAGCCAUCAUUUUUAGAGAGCUUGCAAGCUCUCAUCACCUAAAAAAAAUUUUAAGUAGCUGACUUGAGCGUUGGCGUGUGGUCGCCGGCCACUGUGGCUCCACCUCUAACCUCCUUUUCUUAUUUUGCAGGUCUAAAUGCACCAUUUAAAGGGUCCCACAUUCCACAUCUGACCUCUCACUAUUAUCAGCCCUCUUCCACUCUUUUUUGUCUCUUUUAAAGUCUAAAAUAUCCCCUACAACAAAGUUAAGUGAGGUACCCUAAUCUCCAAAAAAUAUAAAUUCAUUGUUUUUGUGAGAUUUUUAUUCAUAUCCCUUACAACCCAAAAUCCACUUAAAACAAUAUAUAUUGCACGAAUUCAC